UGGAUGUUGGAGAAAAAGUGCUUCUUAAAUUACAUCCAUAUUGUUAACAAAUUGUCUCUUCGCAAGUCAACUUAAGACUCACUCCAUAGUAUUAUGGACCAUUUGUCGUCAUUCGGAAAAUUGGCAUUGUAGCAUCUAGCCUCUAGUUACCUUGAUCCUCCAAAAUCCAUCUUGUGUUUCACAUUUUGCAACUUCGGAAGUGGCAGGUGAUCAUCCUCUCCUCUCUGCCCUGCCACCAGAAUUAGUAGUGGAUGACCCUAUUCCGACACUCCCCGAAGCAAUUCUUAACAUGCAAG
rnacentral:misc_RNA from 1 species